AGUCUGAUUUCAUGCCACUGAUAAAGACAUACCUGAGACUGGGUAGUUUACACAGAAAAAAGGUUUAAUUAAUAACACAAUUCCACAUGGCCGGGUAGGCCUCACAAUCAUGGCAGAAGUCAAGGAGGACCAUGUCACAUCUUAUGUGGUUGGCGGCAGGCAAAGAGAGAACUUGUGCAGGUAGACUCCCAUUUUUAAAACCAUCAGAUAUCAUGAGACCCAUUCACUAUCAUGAGAACAGCACAGGAAAGACCUACCCCCAUGAUUCGAUAAUCUCCUCUGGGUCCCUUCCACAACACAUAGGAAUUAUGAGAGCUACAAGAUGAGAUUCGGGUGGGGACACAAUCUCAUCUCUUUCACUGGGGAAUACCGGGAAGACAAAUAUGUAAGUAGUAGGCUCCCACGGAUGCUAGAAGUGGCCACAUUUAAACUUGUGACCAUUAUACAUUGGAACUCCCUUCUUUCUUUGGAAUUUUCCACUCCAAAUACAUGUUCUAGAGAAUAAAAUCUCAACACCCAAGAUUUAACCCAGAUCAAUUACACCAGAAUGUAUAAAACCCGGUCAGCAAUUAUUAGAAAAAGUUUUCAGGUAAUUCCAGUGUGCAGCCAAGGUUGUGAAUCCUUGUUUUCUAUAUUACAUUGGUUUAUCUGACAGUGUUUCCAUAAAUUU